GCCCGUUUUCGACCCAAGCCGGCGCCGGAUCUGCCCUCUCUCAGCCUCAAACCGCCAUGGACAGCAGCUGCAGAAAAUGGGUAUGCAGCGGACGUUUGGCUCGUUUUGGCCGCCUUCCCGAGCUCGGAUACUCGGCCCGCUUUGAGGAAAGUUGUUCUCCUCGGCGUCCCCGUCGUUUUGGUCCGCUCGGUUCGCUAAUCCGGUGAGUUUAACUCACUAAACCUCGCUUAGAGGGUUAAUGAUGCUUUAGGUGUGUUUAGUUUAUGUUAAGUGCUAUUAGGUGGUUAGUUUAAUUUAUUUAAGUGUAGAUUAUAUUAAUGUGCUUGAUUAACUUAAAUUGUGUUUAAUUUAAAGUUAAGUGGGUGUUUAUAUUAAUAUAAAUAUUGAUGUGACAUAAAGGAAUUUACUUUUGAUUUAUUUCAAUGUCUCGAAAUUAUUUAAUAAUUUAAUAAUAUAUUAUUAUUCGAAAUUAUUAAAAUAUUAUUAUUUAAUUAUUUUCGGAAUAAAUUUAAUUAUUUAUUAAAUUCCGAAAAUUUUGUCGGGACCCUAAAUUCUCAGAAUUUCGUGCCGGUCGCCGCUGUGCAGUCAGAUUUUGAAAUUGACGAUUGGAUAUUAUAAAUUGAGUGUGGAUUGUGAAAAAUAUGGAUAUUAUUAUUUAAUUAAUUUUCGGAAUAAAUUUUAAUUAUUUAAUAAAUUCCGAAAAUUAAGUUGGGACCCUAAAUUCUCAGAAUUUUGUGCUGAUUGCUGCUGUGUGUUCAGAUUAUGAAUUUGAUGAUUAGAUAUUACAAAUUGAGCGAUGAUUUGUGCAAUUAAUUAUUGAAUUGUUGUGUGCUGGUUGAAAGACUCGGGUCGCAGUAGUGGCUAGGCCGACUGGACCUUUGUUCUUCUAGAAAUGCCGUCAAGGGAGAGUGACGUGGCUCGGGUCGCAGUAGUGGCUAGGCCGACUGGACCUUUGUUCUUCUAGAAAUGCCGUCAAGGGAGAGUGACGUGGCUCGGGUCGCAGUAGUGGCUAGGCCGACUGGACCUUUGUUCUUCUAGAAAUGCCGUCAAGAGAGUGACGUGGCUCGGGUCGCAGUAGUGGCUAGGCCGACUGGACCUUUGUUCUUAUAGAAAUGCCGUCAGGAGAGUGACGUGGUGCCGAUCGCAGUAGAGGCUGGGCCGACUGGAUCGAUGCUCCUUCGGGAAUGCCGUCGACGUAGAGACGAAGCCGUGCUCCAAGGGGGGGAGACGAUGCUCCUUCGGGAAUGCCGUCGACGUACUGACGAAGCCGCGCUCCAUGGGGGGGAGGCGAUGCCUGGCUAUAUGCCAGUAGAUAGCCGAACUGCGAGUAGGCUAUGCCCUUGCGUGGCAGUGAAUAUCAAUUGGAAUGCAUGUUGAGUGUUGUUGAUGUGUCGGAUUAUGGGACGGAAUUAUGUGGCAUGGAAUGGGACGUGUCAUAAUGAUUUAGUCUUAUAAUCAGGACCCCCGCGGUUGUUGGUUAUAUGAAAGUGAAUGCGUUCCGGUUGUUUAAGUCCUUAUUACUGCAUAUGAUUGAAUGAUAUGAAUUGUGCUAACCUGCAGGAAAGAACCGAGGUGAGGUAAGUCCUCUAUGUUGUGUGGCUAGGCCACCCAGGGCGUAUUUUCUUUCUAAUAGGGGUUUAGGGGGUUGAACUUGCUGAGAUGUGGUCUCAGUGGUUAUUGAAUAACCAUUUCAGGUCCCUGAUGGACGGAGUGGCCAGAUAGCUUUGGUUAGCCUUGAAGAGUUGGAGAAGUGAAGUCAUAAGGAUUGGAGAUCGUGUACGUCUUGUGGGUCGUAGGAUAACCUCUUUUUAAGAGCCAGUCUUUUGUAGACUUUUGGCCGUAGACCUCUGUUUGUAAUUUCGUUGAUUUACGAAAGUGUUAUGUUGUGAUUUUGUUUCCUGCUUUUCUAUCCCAAGUUAAAUGUUGUCAGGGGAUUUGUUUCGCUUCCGCAUGCGUAAAUAAAUGAAUGGGUCGGCGGCGUAUCCUGGGAUGUCGCAUAUUUGAUCGACCGCUGUGGGAUGUGUGCGCGCUCGGGGUUCGGGGCGUGACAA
rnacentral:lncRNA from 1 species